UGUCUCUUCCAUUAUAAAGGUUGAUAAUUAUGGUGGUUCAGAUGAGAGAUGUUCCUCAGAGGCUCAGGGCUUCCGUACAGCAGAAGCAGGAAUCCUGGGAGGAAGGAAGCUGCUCUCAGUGUGUUGUGAAUGCUAGGAACAAACAACGCUUAACCCAAAGGGCUCUUCCGUAGAUCUCUCAGCUGUGAGUAAUUUUAUAAGCUUGCCUGGUGACUGGAAACACAAGUCCUACUGAAGAGCUCACAGUAUGAAGGGUAGCCACACUACCACCAUUAGCUUCGAUGCAUCCCUUUGGGCUCAAGGUCAAUCACCAAUCGGGUCCACUGCUCUAGCCUUUGAAAUUACACUUAGGCCUCUCAGACUGCUUCUCUUAUCGUGACUUUGGAUAAACAAGAACCCUCUGCCUUCAAAAGAAGACAAAAGCUUAUUCCUUCAGGAAGUUCUAAUAAUAUGUAUGUGUGUAUGUGGGUAGGGGCACAGGUGUGUGGUACUGAAAAUAUGAAUCAACACAUCUACCUGAUAAGCAAACACUCUAUCACUAAGCUAUAUACCCAGGCCAAGAAUUUUACUCUAAUCUAUGCAUUUAUGUGUGUGUGUGUGUGUGUGUGUGCAUAUAAACCUUUCUCUGUGCUUUCUUCACACACACACA